GCCACUCCAAAAAAACUGCACUCCUAAUAAAUCUGAUCGAAAUUGCAAAUUGCACAACCACUCUUCAAGCCUAUAACUCUAAUAGCAUGUAGAGCUACAAAUAUAUGGGUCACCAAUCUUAAGACCUUAGCUCUGAUAUCAUGUAGAAUGGCAAAUAUCAAAACCUUUGCUCUGAUACAUGUAGAAUAGCACAUUACGCAGAGUAAAUCAAUCAUGCUGGCCCA
rnacentral:lncRNA from 1 species